rnacentral:rRNA from 1 species
AGAGUUUGAUCAUGGCUCAGAACGAACGCUGGCGGCAGGCUUAACACAUGCAAGUCGAGCGGGCGCUUUCGGGCGUCAGCGGCGGACGGGUUAGUAACGCGUGGGAACGUGCCCUUUGCUCUGGAAUAGCCCUGGGAAACCGGGGGUAAUACCGGAUGUGCCCUGAGGGGGAAAGGUUUACCGGCAAGGGAUCGGCCCGCGUCUGAUUAGGUAGUUGGUGGGGUAAAGGCCUACCAAGCCUACGAUCGGUAGCUGGUUUGAGAGGAUGAUCAGCAACACUGGGACUGAGACACGGCCCAGACUCCUACGGGAGGCAGCAGUGGGGAAUCUUAGACAAUGGGCGAAAGCCUGAUCUAGCCAUGCCGCGUGGGUGAUGAAGGCCUUAGGGUCGUAAAGCCCUUUCGCCGGGGAAGAUAAUGACGGUACCCGGUAAAGAAACCCCGGCUAACUCCGUGCCAGCAGCCGCGGUAAUACGGAGGGGGUUAGCGUUGUUCGGAAUGACUGGGCGUAAAGCGCGCGUAGGCGGAUCGCAAAGUUGGGGGUGAAAGCCCAGGGCUCAACCCUGGAAUUGCCUUCAAGACUCGCGGUCUGGAGUUCGAGAGAGGUGGGUGGAAUUCCGAGUGUAGAGGUGAAAUUCGUAGAUAUUCGGAGGAACACCAGUGGCGAAGGCGGCCCACUGGCUCGACACUGACGCUGAGGCGCGAAAGCGCGGGGAGCAAACAGGAUUAGAUACCCNNGUAGUCC